GCACCUGAUGCAGAGGGUUCUAGUGAGACUGAGUGCUUGUGUGUCAGUGGAUGUUGAAGAGGAGGAAGAGCCUAAGCAGCACAGUACCAAUGUUAACCAGAAGAGGGUGCACUGCUCCCUUAGCACCCUCUGUGACUGGUGAUCCUGACCCCACUGUUUCUUGUUAAGCCCAGUGGCAAGGUGCUGCAGGUGCUGGUCAGAAUUUUUUUCCACCACGAUUUCUCCGUGCGCAACUUCAUCAAAGACCUGCAGGUUUGUGUGUACGUGUGUGUUGACCAUGGGGCCCCCUUACCAGUUGGCUCUGCUGGAGCACUUCCACAGCCAGCCUCUGAGCGUGCUGUGCUGUAAGGAGGCGGCGGCCCUGGGCCACGCCACUGAGCUCAGCCAC